rnacentral:rRNA from 1 species
UACAGAGGUGGCAAGCGUUGUUCGGAAUUACUGGGCGUAAAGGGCGCGUAGGCGGCCUCGUAAGUCCUGUGUGAAAUCCCCCGGCUCAACUGGGGAACUGCACAGGAAACUGCGAGGCUUGAGUUCGGGAGAGGGAAGCGGAAUUCCGGGUGUAGCGGUGAAAUGCGUAGAUAUCCGGAGGAACACCGGUGGCGAAGGCGGCUUCCUGGACCGACACUGACGCUGAGGCGCGAAAGCUAGGGGAGCAAACGGG